rnacentral:misc_RNA from 1 species
GUGAAUCAUCAAAUUUUUGAACGCAAAUUGCACUCUCCUCGGAGAGUAUGCCUGUUUGAGGGUCAGCCUAUAAAAAUCGACAUCGUUGCUGUUUCGCGGUGGCGUUCGUCGGAAAUUGGGUCAUCUUAAAUCCUUUUGAUUUAAGCGACUUAAAAUUUUCUUUUGGUUCCUUAACCUUUCUUAAGUCUUUUUCCUUACACGUUUUAUGUAUUCGU